AUUGAACGCUGGCGGCAGGCCUAACACAUGCAAGUCGGACGGUAGCACAGAGGAGCUUGCUCCUUGGGUGACGAGUGGCGGACGGGUGAGUAAUGUCUGGGGAUCUGCCCGAUAGAGGGGGAUAACCACUGGAAACGGUGGCUAAUACCGCAUAACGUCGCAAGACCAAAGAGGGGGACCUUCGGGCCUCUCACUAUCGGAUGAACCCAGAUGGGAUUAGCUAGUAGGCGGGGUAAUGGCCCACCUAGGCGACGAUCCCUAGCUGGUCUGAGAGGAUGACCAGCCACACUGGAACUGAGACACGGUCCAGACUCCUACGGGAGGCAGCAGUGGGGAAUAUUGCACAAUGGGCGCAAGCCUGAUGCAGCCAUGCCGCGUGUAUGAAGAAGGCCUUCGGGUUGUAAAGUACUUUCAGCGGGGAGGAAGGCGACGGGGUUAAUAACCCUGUCGAUUGACGUUACCCGCAGAAGAAGCACCGGCUAACUCCGUGCCAGCAGCCGCGGUAAUACGGAGGGUGCAAGCGUUAAUCGGAAUUACUGGGCGUAAAGCGCACGCAGGCGGUCUGUUAAGUCAGAUGUGAAAUCCCCGGGCUUAACCUUGGGAACUGCAUUUGAAGCUGGCAGGCUUGAGUCUUGUAGAGGGGGGUAGAAUUCCAGGUGUAGCGGUGAAAUGCGUAGAGAUCUGGAGGAAUACCGGUGGCGAAGGCGGCCCCCUGGACAAAGACUGACGCUCAGGUGCGAAAGCGUGGGGAGCAAACAGGAUUAGAUACCCUGGUAGUCCACGCCGUAAACGAUGUCGACUUGGAGGUUGUUCCCUUGAGGAGUGGCUUCCGGAGCUAACGCGUUAAGUCGACCGCCUGGGGAGUACGGCCGCAAGGUUAAAACUCAAAUGAAUUGACGGGGGCCCGCACAAGCGGUGGAGCAUGUGGUUUAAUUCGAUGCAACGCGAAGAACCUUACCUACUCUUGACAUCCACGGAAUUUGGCAGAGAUGCCUUAGUGCCUUCGGGAACCGUGAGACAGGUGCUGCAUGGCUGUCGUCAGCUCGUGUUGUGAAAUGUUGGGUUAAGUCCCGCAACGAGCGCAACCCUUAUCCUUUGUUGCCAGCGAUUCGGUCGGGAACUCAAAGGAGACUGCCGGUGAUAAACCGGAGGAAGGUGGGGAUGACGUCAAGUCAUCAUAGCCCUUACGAGUAGGGCUACACACGUGCUACAAUGGCGCAUACAAAGAGAAGCGACCUCGCGAGAGCAAGCGGACCUCACAAAGUGCGUCGUAGUCCGGAUCGGAGUCUGCAACUCGACUCCGUGAAGUCGGAAUCGCUAGUAAUCGUGGAUCAGAAUGCCACGGUGAAUACGUUCCCGGGCCUUGUACACACCGCCCGUCACACCAUGGGAGUGGGUUGCAAAAGAAGUAGGUAGCUUAACCUUCGGGAGGGCGCUUACCACUUUGUGAUUCAUGACUGGGGUG
rnacentral:rRNA from 1 species